rnacentral:misc_RNA from 1 species
CAACACUCAAGCUCUGCUUGGCGUUGGGGCCCUAAGGCUUAGCCGCCGUAGGCCCUUAAAAUCAGUGGCGGGACCGCUGGGGACCCGGGCGAAGUAAUAACUACAGCGCCAAGGGAUAUCUAGCUGGUCUCCUGCCGUAAAACGAUUAUUUAAAAUCUCAGUG